UACGAAGGGGGCAAGCGUUAUUCGGAAUUACUGGGCGUAAAGGGUGCGUAGGCGGUUCGUUAAGUCUGGCGUGAAAUCCCCGGGCUCAACCUGGGAAUGGCGAUGGAUACUGGCGAGCUAGAGUGUGUCAGAGGAUGGUGGAAUUCCCGGUGUAGCGGUGAAAUGCGUAGAGAUCGGGAGGAACAUCAGUGGCGAAGGCGGCCAUCUGGGACAACACUGACGCUGAAGCACGAAAGCGUGGGGAGCGAACAGG
rnacentral:rRNA from 1 species